rnacentral:rRNA from 1 species
ACUUGAAUUGAAGAGUUUGAUCAUGGCUCAGAUUGAACGCUGGCGGCAGGCUUAACACAUGCAAGUCGAACGGUAGCAGGAGAAAGCUUGCUUUCUUGCUGACGAGUGGCGGACGGGUGAGUAAUGCUUGGGAAUCUGGCUUAUGGAGGGGGAUAACGACGGGAAACUGUCGCUAAUACCGCGUAUUAUCGGAAGAUGAAAGUGCGGGACUGAGAGGCCGCAUGCCAUAGGAUGAGCCCAAGUGGGAUUAGGUAGUUGGUGGGGUAAAGGCCUACCAAGCCUGCGAUCUCUAGCUGGUCUGAGAGGAUGACCAGCCACACUGGAACUGAGACACGGUCCAGACUCCUACGGGAGGCAGCAGUGGGGAAUAUUGCGCAAUGGGGGGAACCCUGACGCAGCCAUGCCGCGUGAAUGAAGAAGGCCUUAGGGUUGUAAAGUUCUUUCGGUAUUGAGGAAGGUUGAUGUGUUA